GCUCUAGCCAGCGCUCUAGUUCAGCCACUUUCAUCCUGCAGGUCGACACAAAGCCACCUGUAGCAGUCUCUGCUCCUACAACUAGCAGUACAAUAAACAACCAAAACACACCACCUAACAUGACAACAUCUUCCCCCUGCAGCCGCUGCCUCCUCCAGCAGCUUCACAGAUACCAGUCUGAUGGGACCUGACGGCAUCCGUGGGAAACUAUCCCAACCCACAGAGACCCCACCCAACAACCCUUAUGGCUCAACGCUACCAGAUACUCCAGCACACCCUGACUGGCCAGAGUCUUUUUAGGAGCACAGGGAAGACCUGCUUAGUAGCUAUUUAGUCAGUGAUAAUGUUCAGGCUGAUUAACACAUGGAGAUGAUGCCAUUCAGGACUGAAAAAAGUGUAGUGAUCCACUGCAUUUAUGUAUAAAUGAAAAAAGGCACUCACCCUGUUUUUAUUUAAAAUAUUUGAGAUUCUUCUCUUAAAUUUUGAAGAUGACAGGAGAUCUGUUUUUCAAGUGGUUUGCUUUAACAGACCAGGCUUCCAUGCUGAAGUUUACUCCUCAAAUAUUAGUAAUAAUUAUUCUGUGUAAGUCAUAUAAAACAUUCAAGAACUACAAGCAAAUUAGAUCUGUUUGUUGACAAAUGUAAAGACUAACACAAAAAGAAAAAGUCACAAAUAAAAAGAAAAUAAAUUAAGGGACUCACAGUUACAUGAAUCUGUGCUGAUUAGUAGUGUUUUUAGGGUUUUUAGGUAAGGUUUAGAUGGAACUCCAAAUAACCUUUAAUACACAAAGACUGGUGCUAAAGAUAAUUGAUAUCAGAUUUUAGAGUUGAUGUUAAGGGAGUUCAUUACUUUUUUUUUUCAUUUUUUAUUUUUUCUCUUGGGCUUGCUCUGUCAAUGUGCAGAGUUGCCAGCAGGACCAGAAUAAUACCAGAGGCAUGCUCUACCAUCAGAGGCUUAAAAUAGUUUGUUGGAAACAGAUCAUCAGUGCUGACCUGCAGCAAAAACCACGCAGGUCAGAUUUCUACUGAGUGUUGGGCUGAGUGCAAGACAUGAAGGCCUGGUCAGUAUUUUGGAACUACAUUACAGAGAAGCUGAGGAAAAAGAGUCCUUUAAAUACAGUAGAUGUAUUGUUUAUAAUUUGAAUGAAAGACAAACUUGCUCAUCAGAUUCCUUGACAUGAACUGCCUUAUAUUAAAUGUUAUGCUGUGCCACUAGGUGGCAUUGUUACGCUUCGUUGAGUUGCACCACAUGCCAAGGACAAGCCUUGCUUUAAGUAGGAAAUAAGUUUAACAUGUGAAAAAAAUAAAUUAUCUAAAAAAAACACAGGGGUCAGGGUCACAAUAGACUGACCCUGAAUUACAAAUUGGUUUUAAGACUCAGAUCUUUUUGUGUUGAUGCACUUGGUGUGAUCUUGACUUAUUGAUUGUGUUUUGAAAUUUUCUCACAUGAUGAUUUGUAUCGUAGAAUUUGUGUGGCCCUACUCAUUAAAAAAAAAGCCAAAGGCAUAACCAUCUCUGGUUUAGGAAGCGUUCAAAAGGCAGAGACAAAAUGAGCUUGCAGCAUCAGGAAAGUCCUUUUUCUUACUGUUCGUACUUAGUUAUCUCAGAGACGAAACCAACACACUUGUUUUAUUUAUUCAUUUAUUUUUUUUGUCAUGUAAACUAUUUCUGAUGUGGAUAACAUAUUGGUGGCAAAAAUAAAUGAUGAUUUAAAAGCAGAGAUGUAUCAAGCACGCAGCUGCAACCACACUUGGUUAGAAAAAGACAAAAAUCUAUGAUUAAUAGAAGCCUAUUAUGCAUGUUAUUGAGCAUUUAUAUCUACCUUUAGCUUUGAUUACAGUCUCUGUGGUGUUUUUUUGAUAAAAAUGUGUAACAUGCACUCAAUAUCACACUGGUGUUUCUGAGUAAAAACUCUUAAGGGCAUAUCUUAACAUCCUUAAUAGUAUUGUUGCUUGAAUCAUACUUACUUCAUCUGUGGUUUGUCAUAUUUUCUCUUGGUUCUGGAUCCUAAUUGUUUAAAAUUUUGAAUGCAUUCAGAAUUUCAGUAAUGCUUGUAGCAGUACAUUAAAAAUA